rnacentral:rRNA from 1 species
GUGGGGAAUUUUGGACAAUGGGCGCAAGCCUGAUCCAGCAAUGCCGCGUGCAGGAAGAAGGCCUUCGGGUUGUAAACUGCUUUUGUACGGAACGAAACGGUCCGGGUUAAUACCCUGGGCUAAUGACGGUACCGUAAGAAUAAGCACCGGCUAACUACGUGCCAGCAGCCGCGGUAAUACGUAGGGUGCAAGCGUUAAUCGGAAUUACUGGGCGUAAAGCGUGCGGAGGCGGUUUUGUAAGACAGGCGGGAAAUCCCCGGGCUCAACCUGGGAAUUGCGCUUGUGACUGCAAGGCUGGAGUGCGGCAGAGGGGGAUGGAAUUCCGCGUGUAGCAGUGAAAUGCGUAGAUAUGCGGAGGAACACCGAUGGCGAAGGCAAUCCCCUGGGCCUGCACUGACGCUCAUGCACGAAAGCGUGGGGAGCAAACAGGAUUAGAAACCCCGGUAGUCC